rnacentral:rRNA from 1 species
UUGCGCAGUAUAGGUGGGAGGCAAAGAGUAUAUGUUCGUGGAUGUAUAUGAGCCAUUAGUGAGAUACCACUCUGAUUAAACUAGAAUUCUAAUAUUGAUUGCCAUAAGCUGGCCAAUAGACAGUUUCAGGUGGGCAGUUUGACUGGGGCGGUCGCCUCCUAAAAGGUAACGGAGGCGUGCAAAGGUUUCCUCAGGCUGGUCGGAAAUCAGUCGUAGAGUAUAAAGGCAUAAGGAAGCUUGACUGCGAGACCUACAAGUCGAGCAGAGACGAAAGUCGGCCUUAGUGAUCCG